UACGUAGGGGCAAGCGUUGUCCGGAUUAUUGGGCGUAAAGAGCGUGUAGGCGGCUGGGUAGGUCCGCUGUGAAAACUCGAGGCUUAACCUCGAGACGUCGGUGGAAACCAUCCAGCUAGAGUCCGGAAGAGGAGAGUGGAAUUCCUGGUGUAGCGGUGAAAUGCGCAGAUAUCAGGAAGAACACCCGUGGCGAAAGCGGCUCUCUGGGACGGUACUGACGCUGAGACGCGAAAGCGUGGGGAGCAAACAGG
rnacentral:rRNA from 1 species